CGGAGGGUGCAAGCGUUAUCCGGAUUUACUGGGUUUAAAGGGUGUGUAGGCGGGUCUUUAAGUCAGUGGUGAAAUCUCCGAGCUCAACUUGGAAACUGCCAUUGAUACUAUUGAUCUUGAAUUUUGUUGAGGUAGGCGGAAUAAGUCAAUGUAGCGGUGAAAUGCAUAGAUAUGACUUAGAACACCAAUUGCGAAGGCAGCUUGCUAAACAAAUAUUGACGCUGAGGCACGAAAGCGUGGGGAUCAAACAGGAUUAGAUACCCUGGUAGUCCACGCCCUAAACGAUGAUUACUCGACAUACGCGAUACACAGUGUGUGUCUGAGCGAAAGCAUUAAGUAAUCCACCUGGGAAGUACGACCGCAAGGUUG
rnacentral:rRNA from 1 species